ACUGCCACUAGAGGCGUUGCAGGGCGGCUCCACGUGUCGUCCCUGUGUCAUUAGCUGGCAGAGAGCAAAGAAGGACUAUGUCUGCUCUUGGUUCCCAAGAUGAGUGGGCACUUGGAAUGAUUGAUAGUCCCACACU
ensembl:snoRNA small nucleolar RNA SNORA17